AACUUUGCCCAGUGGCCGUAUUGUAGCCAAUGAGGUUUACCUGAGGUGCGAUUAUUGCUAAUUGAAAACUUUUUCCAAAACCCUGCCAUGAGGACUUGCCAUAUAGUCGGCAUUGGCAAUUUAUGACAGUCUCUAAGGAGA
ensembl:snRNA LOC120098027 U4 spliceosomal RNA